rnacentral:rRNA from 1 species
CCUACGGGAGGCAGCAGUGAGGAAUAUUGGUCAAUGGACGAGAGUCUGAACCAGCCAAGUAGCGUGAAGGAUGACUGCCCUAUGGGUUGUAAACUUCUUUUAUAUGGGAAUAAAACGUUCCACGUGUGGGAUUUUGUAUGUACCAUAUGAAUAAGGAUCGGCUAACUCCGUGCCAGCAGCCGCGGUAAUACGGAGGAUCCGAGCGUUAUCCGGAUUUAUUGGGUUUAAAGGGAGCGUAGGUGGAUUGUUAAGUCAGUUGUGAAAGUUUGCGGCUCAACCGUAAAAUUGCAGUUGAAACUGGCAGUCUUGAGUACAGUAGAGGUGUGCGGAAUUCGUGGUGUAGCGGUGAAAUGCUUAGAUAUCACGAAGAACUCCGAUUGCGAAGGCAGUUCACUGGACUGCAACUGACACUGAGGCUCGAAAGUGUGGGUAUCAAACAGGAUUAGAUACCCGUGUAGUC